GUGGGGAAUAUUGGACAAUGGGCGCAAGCCUGAUCCAGCCAUGCCGCGUGAAUGAUGAAGGCCUUAGGGUUGUAAAGUUCUUUCGCCAGGGACGAUAAUGACGGUACCUGGAUAAGAAGCCCCGGCUAACUUCGUGCCAGCAGCCGCGGUAAUACGAAGGGGGCUAGCGUUGUUCGGAUUUACUGGGCGUAAAGCGCACGUAGGCGGAUCUUUAAGUCAGGGGUGAAAUCCCGAGGCUCAACCUCGGAACUGCCCUUGAUACUGGAGAUCUUGAGUUCGGGAGAGGUGAGUGGAACUGCGAGUGUAGAGGUGAAAUUCGUAGAUAUUCGCAAGAACACCAGUGGCGAAGGCGGCUCACUGGCCCGAUACUGACGCUGAGGUGCGAAAGCGUGGGGAGCAUACAGGAUUAGAAACCCUUGUAGUCC
rnacentral:rRNA from 1 species